rnacentral:rRNA from 1 species
UACGUAGGGGGCAAGCGUUAUCCGGAUUUACUGGGUGUAAAGGGAGCGUAGGCGGUCUGACAAGUCAGAAGUGAAAGCCCGGGGCUCAACCUCGGGACUGCUUUUGAAACUGCCGGACUAGAUUGCAGGAGAGGUAAGUGGAAUUCCUAGUGUAGCGGUGAAAUGCGUAGAUAUUAGGAGGAACACCAGUGGCGAAGGCGGCUUACUGGACCGGAACUGACGCUGAGGCACGAAAGCGUGGGGAGCAAACAGG